CUUUAGGGCUAGCCUCAAGGUAAGAGAUACGGAGGUAGAGCACUGAAUGUCCUAGGGGGUAUUGCACCUACCGAAGACUAUCAAACUCCGAAUGCCGUCAUCUUAUACUUGGGAGUCAGACUGUGGGCGAUAAGAUUCAUAGUCGAAAGGGCAACAGCCCAGAUCGUCAGCUAAGGUCCCUAAAUGUAAGUUAAGUGGUAAAGGAUGUGGGAUUGCACAGACAACCAGGAUGUUGGCUUAGAAGCAGCCACUCAUUCAAAGAGUGCGUAAUAGCUCACUGGUCGAGUUAUCCUGCGCCGAAGAUUU
rnacentral:rRNA from 1 species